GACGAACGCUGGCGGCGUGCCUAAUACAUGCAAGUAGAACGCAGUUUGGAACGGGUGAGUAACUCGUAGAUGACUUGCCUCACUGCGGGGGAGAACUAUUGGACAAGUUAGCUACUACCGCAUUCUGUGUGAUGGACCUGCGUUGUAUUAGCUAGUUGGUGAGGUAAAGGCUCACCAAGGCGACGAUACAUAGCCGACCUGAGAGGGUGAGCGGCAACACUGGGACUGAGACACGGCCCAGACUCCUACGGGAGGCAGCAGUAGGGAAUCUUCGGCAAUGGACGGAAGCCUGACCGAGCAACGCCGCGUGAGUGAAGAAGGUUUUCGGAUCGUAAAGCUCUGUUGUUAGAGAAGCGGUAAUUAACCAGAAAGGGACGGCUAACUACGUGCCAGCAGCCGCGGUAAUAC
rnacentral:rRNA from 1 species